CAUGCUGUCUGUGAAGCUGCAGAGAAAGGUUCCCAAACAUCAACACAGACACAGUUUACAUGUAGGCAGCUCCCCAACAUGGAGCUGGAAGAGAGAUGAAUAAAAAGCUCUGUCAGUCUGAGGGGUUUUAAAUGAUUGGCACACCAAGACUGUAGGACAAUGAGGCUCACACACACACACAUGCACACAUCCACCCCCACACACACACACACACACCAUCAGAUGUUGAGAUGUGAGGAACACAGCUGUCCACCUGCUCAGGGAGCUGCACUGCCCGACUCUGUGGAAAACACAAACUGUUUCCAUUUUAAAAGCAGAGUCGGCUGUAGAACAAUAGGUAGCCUCUGUGUUCCCACGGGAUGGAGGAAAAGAGACCUUCACAACCAGAGAGCAGAGGUGUAACCCAGUCAGGACUCACACAGAGGACAGCUGAGCUCCCAAUGUGAACAACGGCAACAUAAUGAUGCAGUAAGUCCUGCACAAACAUGUCAUUUGGCCUCCAGAUACCCAAAAAAGGCUGCUUUAGUCCACAUGUAAACACUUACAAACGUGAGUAAUGUUUCCCUGUGGUUACUGCUUCUUUUUUCCACCCUAAUGUGAGCGUUUUAUUUGCCACCAGCAAGAGCUGAUCAUUCCUAAGAAUGUUUCAGAGAAAGCUGUAAUAAAAGCUCCUGGUAGGAGAUGGCACCAGCUCUGUUUGUUCUCCACCUGGCCGCCAUGCACAACUAUCAGUGCUGCACAGAAUGACGAUCGCGCUGUGCAUCCUUGCAGCUGUUUCCACCGGCUGUCAACCUCAUCAGCUCGGUGUUGCCCACAGUUAAGUCACGAGGCUAAGUGGUUUUUUUUAUUUUAAGUAGGGUUUUUUUUAAAUACACCAGUAACAGUGACAGUGAAAACAGGUUAAGCUAUAGGUUUAUAGUUGACUCAUAACAAAACUGGACAUGCUAGUUGCUAGUUGGUGCUAGUUGCUAACGACAGCAGCAGAUGGUAAAGAUAGGAGCAAAACCAGUCUCCACCACACCUCUGAACAGGUGGAGCAUCACUCCGUCUUUAUUAAACUCCAUCUUUUUCCUCUCUUCUCUCCCUCCUCUCGCCUCAGUGUUCAGUCAGCCAGUAUUUUGGAUUUUCCACCUCCAUUCCAGAAACCAGCAGACAUCUCAGCUUUUCCCCUUUGGUGCUCCAUAAAGUGUGCUGCCAGAGCGGCCCAGAGGCAGCAGCAGAGCUGACUGAGUGUUCAGCAGCAAAGGAGGAAAGAAGCAGAAACUGGGCCAGUGAUUUAUUGCUGAUUUAUUGAGUCGUUGAAGCUGCUUUUGUUUGGAAAAAUCAGACUUUCAGAUGUUUUAGGCAAGAAGCUUUGGAAAUAGACUCUUUGUAAGCAGAGAAUCACAGAAUCUGUCUCCAGAUUCUGUGAUUCUGGGCAACCAAAGAAACCAGUUGGUGUCUGUGAGUUUAUGGUAGCUUAGUGAACCUUCUCCACCAAUCAGAACAGAUCAUCUGAGCAAUGGCUGCCUCACACACACUGAAUUACUGAAAGCUGGAGAUAGAAAACAAGCUUUCAGUUUUUGGUUCAUCCAGGUUGGAUAAACCUGGAUGAAAGUCCAGGUUCAUCCAACCUGGACUUUUUCGUCCAAGUUGGAUGAACAGAUCCCAUCAAACUGUGAAACUGGUUUGUACUUUUAGUGCAGAGGAUGGAGACCGAGGGAACGUCAGUGAAAUAGAGACUCCCAGAUAAAGCAGGACAACAGCAGAGGAAAAGGCGGCACAGCAGGGAAUUGUGGACAGACAGGAAUGUGAGGAUAUUGUUGGAAGUCUCUGACAAACUACAACCUGAACUAAAAGUGAGUGGUUUGUAACUCUGGGUUAUCGCGUCCUCAUCUCCCUCUCACACAUUCCUUCUCUUCUUCUAAGGAGAGAACUGUGGUGAGUGAGGUCAGGCUCCUCUCUGUGGAAGAAUCCAAAAAUGAACCAGAAAACUAGAGGAGCAUUUCCUAAUCAGGCCGUAUCAACCCGGAGYGUCUCAGACCUUGUCCUGUCAUCAUGGCUCAGACUGCAUGGGAAGCAGACAGAAGAGCAGCGAGGAGAUGGAGAGUCUGAGGCUGGUGGAGCCUGCAGAGAUGAGAUCAGUGGAUCAGGAUGUUUGGAAACUCUGGAGGCUUUUAAAGCAGAAAGAGAGGUGACCAGGAUAAAGCUGUGAAAUCAGAGCAGUUUAAUGUUUUGGCUUUCACAAUGUUGGACUUUUAUAUUCGUAAGAAAAGAUGCAGUGAAGAUGAAAAUGUUACUCAGGAGGAGGGACCGAUUGACAUGCAGGAUGUUCAGAGUGAGGUUGUAGAAGACGGGGUUUCCCUGUGAGGGAUUUGUUCUGAACAAAGGAUGACCUGCUGUACGUCUGACACUCUUAAUACCUUUGGACUAAAUGGAAACUUUCAGAUYAUUUUCCUCUUUUGAACAUUUUCUGCUCAUCCAGUCAUCUCUAGCUGGUAAAGAGCAAACUUCUUAAAUGUUUAGUGAACUUAAGGAGAGCGCCUGAGGCUGCACAGCUAAAAAGUCCAGAUGUUCUGCUGUCUUUUAAUGCCUCAUGAAACUCCAAGCUUGUGUUGUCAUUUUCACUGCUGGGCAGAUCUGAGCGAAGGCUGGACACAAGACAGAAGACAGGUUGAGGUCUAAAAACACCAAGAACUCUCAGUAAACAGCUGAAGUAAACACUCUGGCUGCCAUAAAGACAACUUUACUUUCAUUGUUUAAUGACUUUUCUGUUUCUCACUAAUGUUUCACAGAUGAGAUGGAGAUUGGUCCCAUUGAGGAGGGGGGAGGAGAGCCAGCAGGCGGCCAUCUUUCUCCCACUGACUCACUCGCUGCCUUUUCAUUCCCUCUCUGAUCUGUUUCGCUCCGUCUUUUUCGAUCURAUUUCUUCAGACAACUCAAUUAUGCUGGCCGGGCUCCAUUUGUUUUCCAACUAAAUAUUACACCGUGGACUUUAUGAGUCAUAAGAAACAUCUUUCAGCUCCAUCCUAUCAGUCACCUCUACGCUUGAAGCCUUCUUGCUAAAACGUGUUUUUUUCCUCCAGCAUUUUAAAUAAAGACAGAAACCAGAGCAGCACAUGUUUGCUGAGGACACGGUGUCCACUGGAAGAACAAAACACAAGUCAAAAACCACACACCACACACACACACACACACACACAUAUCCACUAAUCUGCUGAACAUACAGGUCUUCAUCAUCAACCUUUAUUUAACCAGGAUAAAAAACUCCUUGAGAUUAAAAAUCUCUUUUCCUAGAGUGUCCUGGUGUUCUGACCCAGAGGAGUCUACUGAGUUUUUCUCUCUCUGCUUUCAGAAGCCACAGACCAUGGAUCAAGUCAACAUGACAAGGGCAACGGUGGCGUCGCAGCGACGCAGAAGGAGAAGGUGAAGGCCAAAGAUGAGACGUACUGGAAGGAGAUCAACGCCGCCAUGGCCUUGACCAACUUGGCUCAGGGGAAGGACAGCGUCUCCGGGACAACCAGCUGCAUCAUCCAGAAGUCCUCCCAUAUAGCCGAGGUGAAGACUGUUAAAGUGCCAUUGUUGCAAAAGUUUUAGCUCCGAUUUGCCUAUGCAAAGCAGAAACAUUUCUCUCAGUAAACUUGAUGGAGUCCAAAAAACUCUCUGUGAACUGGUGCUUUAGGACGAAGGUGGGCUUGUGAAGAAAAAAUAUGUUUUGGUCUUUCUGAAACUGUUCAAAUGAUGGAUUCCUUUAAAAAAAAAAAAAAGAAAAGAAAAGAAAAACAAAUUUUUUGUAAUGUUAACUUAUUUUUUUGAGUCUUUUUAUUGCUACAAAUAUAUUUUCCAAAGUGCCUUUGUUUUCAGCAGUUUGCUCACUGAUUGUGCGCAAUGGAACAUAUGAUCAGAGAGAUUUGUGAAGGAAUGUUUUGGCGAGUGCAGGCUCUUAGUCGGUAUUAUUCAGGAUUUGUCCCUUGUAACAUUAUGUGCCUUAAGAACAGAGUGAGCUCAUUGGCAUUGAUGAACUCAAAUAGCAUGCAUCUGCACAGGAACUAAUCCUAUUUUGACUGGAGUUUCCAUUUGGGCUGUAAACAGAGCUCUGCUUUGUGACUGCUCAACACGUUUCGAAGCGAAGAGCUUUGUCCAUGUCGUCCACCUCUUAACCUUGAAUUCCAUCAGCCGCUGAAAACUUUUUCUCUUACUGAGCCGUGUAUCCUCCGAAACGUGCACAAGUUCUCAGCUGGACCCAAAGCCGCUAAUCGUCCACGUGGCCAGGCCGAUAAGGACGAGCAAAAAACCGCAGCGACCCAAAAGGGAUGUUUUUAUUUUACGUUAUCAGUCUGCCUUGUGAAGCGUCGUAGCUUUUCCCCUUUUUUUUCUUUUUUGUUGUUGCAAAGAACAGGAUGGUGCAGAGUAAAGAAAUUAACUCAAAAAGCCAAGCGCCGCUCCCUCUCUGCCUUUUGAUCCGCAGCCUCCCCAGAUGUUCGGCAUUACAUUUAAAUUGCUGUUUACAAGAAGCCUGAGGACAGGCUUAAAAAUGUAACUUUCUCUUCCAUGGCCUCUUUCUGUCCUGCACAGUAUUAUUUCUUUGUCAGCCAAGUGUUUAAAGCAUUUAUUAUGGCUGCCUGUGUGUAUCUUGUGUCGGUUUUGAUUAAAACUGUCUCGUCUAACUGUGUUGCAUUAAAAUCGUCUCCGUCACCCAGUGGAAAGAAUCCGUUUCUGAGAACGUGCUUAUUGCAGUUGCACCUGAUUUUAAGCUUUAAGGAUGUCUUGGAGGUGCCUGAAAAUGAAUAUUUUGUAUUUACAGUGGUCUGACUGCCGUGAUGAAGGACUUUGAAAGAGAACAAAACUGCACAAUUACUUCUUUUUUUUUUUUUUUUCAACAUUGAAUGUUUAACCAGACGUUCACGGCUACGUAGGCGUUUUUAACAAAGAAACGUCAAAGAAACGAAUCUUUUGGUUAUAUUAGUUUGUGUAUACAUGGAAGUAGUUUGUAAUUAAUCACACCAAACCUCAGGCUCUGUUUGUUUAUGCACUUGGGACGUUGGCCUCCACCUCCGGCGGGUGUUUUUCAGCCAGCUGAUCCAGGCGCUGGGAGAACUGGAUCCACGGCUCGCCUUUCAGUUUGCAGCUUUGAGCCUCUGGGCUGCUCACGCCUCUCACAACGGCCGCGUGCUGGUGACGGAGGCAGAAAAAGGUCAAGGGGAGUUCAAAGGCAGCAACAGGAACACCAGAUGUAUAAGCAAAUGGGCUUCACAGCUAUGACCCCAGUACUGUAACACUCUCCAGCACAAACUCUGCUCUUAACCACGCUGAGAGAAAUGAAAAUGUGUGUUUUGUAAUGUAUAAAUUAUUGCAUUGAAAAAGCAAUGAAAGUGAUGACCGUGAAUUGUAUUUUAUUGUUAAUUUAUAUGAAUGGAUUUUUAAAAAAAUAUAUAUUUUGCUAAAGACUGGAUUUUCCAUCCAAUGAUCAGAUUUAUAUCUUCUUGUACCGUUUCAUCUGCCUUCCUGUAAAAUGUGUUUGAUAAAACUGUUGUUACUUGGUGAUGAUAAAUAAACAUCUGAGCAACAUGA